rnacentral:rRNA from 1 species
CCCACACUGGAACUGAGACAAGGACCAGACUUCUACGGGAAGGCAGCAGUGAGGAAUAUUGGUCAAUGGAGGAAACUCUGAACCCAGCUAUGCCGCGUGUACGGAAGACAGUCUUUUAGAUUGUAAACUACUUUUGCAUAGAAAUAAAAGUUACUACGUGAUAGUAACCUGAAGGUACUAUGCGAAUAAGUGUCGGCUAAUUUCGUGCCAGCAGCCGCGGUAAUACGAAAGACACAAGCGUUAUCCGGAUUUAUUGGGUUUAAAGGGUGUGUAGGUUGUUUAUUAAGUCAGUAGUGAAAGCUUACAGCUUAACUGUAAAAUUGCUAUUGAUACUGAUAAUCUUGAGUAAGAUUGGAGCAUUUGGAAUGUAUGGUGUAGCGGUGAAAUGCAUAGAUAUCAUACAGAACACCAAUAGCGAAGGCAGGAUGCUAAAUCUUCACUGACGCUGAGGCACUAAAGCGUGGGGAGCAAACAGGAUUAGAUACCCUGGUAGUCCACGCCCUAAACGAUGAUCACUAGCUAUUGGAAAAACUAUAUUCAGUGGCUAAGCUAAAGCGAUAAGUGAUCCACCUGGGAAGUACGAUCGCAAGAUUGAAACUCAAAGGAAUUGACGGGGUUCCGCACAAGCGGUGGAGCAUGUGGUUUAAUUCGAUGAUACGCGAGGAACCUUACCAAGGCUUAAAUGUAUUACGAAUAAGCUGGAAACAACUUAGUCUAUAAGACGUAAUACAAGGUGCUGCAUGGUUGUCUUCAGUUCGUGCUGUGAAGUGUUGGGUUAAGUCCUAUAACGAGCGCAACCCCUAUUGUUAGUUGCCAGCGGGUAAAGCCGGGGACUCUAACAAAACUGCCGAUGCAAAUCGUGAGGAAGGUGGGGAUAAUGUCAA